UCGGACAAUCGAACCAUCCGAGGGAAUAUCGGACAAUCGAACCAUCCGAGGGAAUAUCGGACAAUCGAACCAUCCGAGGGAAUAUCGGACAAUUUAACCAUCCGAGGGAACAUCGGAUAAAACCCAUCCAUACAGCUACCAACAUGAAACCACGUGAAAUUUUAUAUGCAGCCAAAAAUGGACAGGAGAGACCGAUAGAAAUGGAACGCCUUGUUGAACUUCGUGACAAGUUGUACGACGAAGUUCAAGUACAACUAACCAAGACACAAAACUCACAGAAUCUGUACCACAACAGGAAGCGAGAGGAUCCGCCAAAACUAAAACAAAACGAAUUGGCAUACAACCGCAUCCAAGGAGUGAAGUCGAAAAUUAAGGACCGCUACCAACAAGUGCGAGUACGAUCUAACCGGAAACACACGUACAAAGAUAUCCUAAGUCGAAAAUUACAUAAAGAAAAACUGCGACGAAUCCGAAAGUAACACCACAGAAUCUCUAAUGUGUUUUUUUCAUUUGUUUUCUCUUUUUAGAUGACGUUUAUUUAGAAUAUCCUGAUAACAACCACAUUCCUUACUCAGCUAUCCCAACCACAAUCCAUCCACGUCAUUAAUCUCAAACAAAACCCCGGUCUUUUAACCAUAGAAACUGGCAACAGUUUUAUAAAAAUAGGCAAUCACAGAUUGUUUCAUAUCCUAGAACUGGAUAAUUACGAACCUAUUUUUAGAAAAUUGCUUGCUAAUAUCCAAGGAAUACGGACAUUCUCAAAUUUUACUGAUAUGUUUGAAAUCUUAGAAUCGAAAUAUGGAACCGUUCACAGUUUAUUCAAUAAUCUUCGGCCAAAGCAAAGAAAUAAAAGAGGAUUAUUUAAUUUUCUCGGAACUGGAAUAAAAAGAAUUACAGGAAAUAUGGACCAUAACGACUAUGAACAAAUUUCGAAAAAUAUUUUUGAACUGCAGAUCAAGAACAAAAGACUUAUUAACGAAAACAACGAACAGCUUAAAAUUAAUCUACAACUCCAAAAUAGAAUCAAUUCCAUUAUCAACCGUUUAAAUCAACAACAGAGUGAAAUAACUAAAAACAUUAUAUCAGCUAGAUUUGAAAACGAAACCAACAAAAACUUUAAAUUAUUUAGAGAAAUUUUGAAAAUCAAUUACAACUUAGACAACCUUAAAUCACAUUUAGAAGACAUUUUUGAAUCAAUUCAGUUAGCAAGAACUAACAUUAUUCC